UACGUAGGGGGCAAGCGUUGUCCGGAUUUAUUGGGCGUAAAGAGCUCGUAGGCGGCUUGUCGCGUCGGAUGUGAAAGCCCGGGGCUUAACUCCGGGUCUGCAUUCGAUACGGGCAGGCUAGAGUGUGGUAGGGGAGAUCGGAAUUCCUGGUGUAGCGGUGAAAUGCGCAGAUAUCAGGAGGAACACCGGUGGCGAAGGCGGAUCUCUGGGCCAUUACUGACGCUGAGGAGCGAAAGCGUGGGGGGAGCGAACGGG
rnacentral:rRNA from 1 species